GAUAUCUAACAUCAGUUGGAGGAGAAGAUAUUAAGAAGUGCAUUUCUGGGAGUAAAGAGAAAUGUUCAUUCUGCUGCUGAAGAUCAGGAAUUCUGAAGCUGACUAUACUACUGGGAGCUACAGUAAGGAGAAAGCAGAUUAGGUAAGAGAUACUUUUGUUUUAAGUUUGCGCC